rnacentral:lncRNA from 1 species
UAUUUUAGCACUGUAUUAACUAAUCAAAGGAAUGAUUCUAUUGCAAAAUGUGCGGCCAAACAAAAUCAAUCAAGGUCGCUCGCUAAUCCCUUAGCUAAAAGUCAUCAUAUUCGUCAGUCGUCCCUUCAACUUUGCCCAAUCCUUUACAUUCUCAUCAAAUCGACAAAAAACACACGAAAAAGAAAAAGAAAGGAACCGCUCAUAUGAAACUUUUAACGAGACUACGACUCCUUGGCUGCUUUCUCAAUUGCCGUCACGUGUCGAUUUUGGCAGAAGUUGCGUUGAAUUUUCUUCAACUUUUGUGAAGAGUCAUCACCUCUGUAUUCGGUACAAGUUGUACUAUUUCAGUUGGCAAGAAUUUUAAUUUGCUGGGGCACAGAGACCAAUUGUUCAUGUUUUUGGGGGUCUGUUUUUUCCCCGCUACCUAGAAAUAUAGGCUUUGAUAGCUAGAGUCACGGUGCAGCACCCAUUGUAUGUAGUACUAGUGUUAUUCAAUGUUUAUAGAAAGGGGCUCUAUGACAAAUUGGACAGAGCCUAAACAAGUAACAACUAAUUAAACAAAAUGUAAAGAAUUCUACCCAGUUUCGUAUGUAAUGGAGAC